GUGCUGUGCAAAUGUUAAAAGUCUGAUCAUUGAGGGGCCAUGAAUGUGAUGAGAGAAAUUAUGAACAGGUUCUGAGAUACAAAUCAAAGCAGG